CGCUGCAUCGAAGUUGGCUUCGUGGAGACGUUUAGUGCUGAUUAGUUGCUACUUGGUGGCAGCACUGAGCUGUAUUCUCGUCGGAUCACUUACAGAACCUAUUGCCAGCAUGAUAUUUUUUAUUUUGAUACAAAUAACAGCUAUCGGUAUUGGUUCUGUGUCAUCAUAUUUUGUUGACUUGUAUCCUACGUCUAAUAGAGGUCUGGUGACUUGCCUGGCCAUGAUGGUAGCGCGAAUGACGUCAUUUUCUGGAGUUAACCUUCUCGGCGCCGUCGUUUUAAGCAGCUGUAACCUUCUAUUCUAUAGCUGGGCGGCUUUCGUCUUAAGUGGCGUCGCGGUUGCAUUAUGUCUACCGUCUGACAGAAUGAAAUAAAGUUAUAGCUGUAAAUUGUAAUUGUAAUGAUUUCUUACCUCGAUUCAAUUAUAAUGAAAGCCACGAGUUUUGAGAUGAUAAGUUUUAUAGGAAAUGGAAUGGCAAAGAAAUACAAAAACCAUUUUGU